AGUGAACGCUGGCGGUAGGCCUAACACAUGCAAGUCGAACGGCAGCACAGUAAGAGCUUGCUCUUACGGGUGGCGAGUGGCGGACGGGUGAGGAAUACAUCGGAAUCUACUUUUUCGUGGGGGAUAACGUAGGGAAACUUACGCUAAUACCGCAUACGACCUACGGGUGAAAGCAGGGGAUCUUCGGACCUUGCGCGAUUGAAUGAGCCGAUGUCGGAUUAGCUAGUUGGCGGGGUAAAGGCCCACCAAGGCGACGAUCCGUAGCUGGUCUGAGAGGAUGAUCAGCCACACUGGAACUGAGACACGGUCCAGACUCCUACGGGAGGCAGCAGUGGGGAAUAUUGGACAAUGGGCGCAAGCCUGAUCCAGCCAUACCGCGUGGGUGAAGAAGGCCGUCGGGUUGUAAAGCCCUUUUGUUGGGAAAGAAAAGCAGCAGGUUAAUACCCCGCUGUUCUGACGGUACCCAAAGAAUAAGCACCGGCUAACUUCG
rnacentral:rRNA from 1 species